rnacentral:misc_RNA from 1 species
AUGGUGAAGUUUGGUGG